rnacentral:rRNA from 1 species
AACGAACGCUGGCGGCGCGCCUAAUACAUGCAAGUCGAGCGAGAAGACGUAGCAAUACGUUUGUAAAGCGGCGAACGGGUGAGGAAUACGUGGGUAACCUACCCUCGAGUGGGGAAUAACUAGCCGAAAGGUUAGCUAAUACCGCGUACGCUCCUAGGACUUCGGUUCAGGGAGGAAAGCGAUACCGUGGGUAUCGCGCUCUUGGAUGGGCUCAUGUCCUAUCAGCUUGUUGGUGAGGUAACGGCUCACCAAGGCUUCGACGGGUAGCUGGUCUGAGAGGACGAUCAGCCACACUGGCACUGCGACACGGGCCAGACUCCUACGGGAGGCAGCAGUAAGGAAUAUUGCGCAAUGGGCGAAAGCCUGACGCAGCGACGCCGCGUGGGGGAUGAAGGUCUUCGGAUUGUAAACCCCUUUCGGGAGGGAAGAUGGAGCGAGCAAUCGUUCUGACGGUACCUCCAGAAGCAGCCACGGCUAACUUCGUGCCAGCAGCCGCAGUAAAAC